rnacentral:rRNA from 1 species
GACGAACGCUGGCGGCGUGCUUAACACAUGCAAGUCGAACGGAAAGGCCCUGCUUUUGUGGGGUGCUCGAGUGGCGAACGGGUGAGUAACACGUGAGUAACCUGCCCUUGACUUUGGGAUAACUUCAGGAAACUGGGGCUAAUACCGGAUAGGAGCUCCUGCUGCAUGGUGGGGGUUGGAAAGAUUCGGCGGUUGGGGCUGGACUCGCGGCUUAUCCGCUUGUUGGUGGGGUAGUGGCUUACCAAGGCUUUGACGGGUAGCCGGCCUGAGAGGGGGACCGGCCACAUUGGGACUAAGAUACGGCGCAGACUCCUACGGGAGGCAGCAGUGGAGAAUAUUGCACAAUGGGCGGAAGCCUGAUGCAGCAACGCCGCGUGCGUGAUGACGGCCUUCGGGUUGUAAACCGCUUUCGCCUGUGACGAAGCGUGAGUGACGGUAAUGGGUAAAGAAGCACCGGCUAACUACGUG